GAUGAACGCUGACAGAAUGCUUAACACAUGCAAGUCGAACGCUGAAGCCCAGCUUGCUGGGUGGAUGAGUGGCGAACGGGUGAGUAACACGUGAGUAACCUGCCCCCUUCUUUGGGAUAACGCCCGGAAACGGGUGCUAAUACUGGAUAUUCACUGAUCUUCGCAUGGGGGUUGGUGGAAAGGUUUUUUCUGGUGGGGGAUGGGCUCGCGGCCUAUCAGCUUGUUGGUGGGGUGAUGGCCUACCAAGGCUUUGACGGGUAGCCGGCCUGAGAGGGUGACCGGUCACAUUGGGACUGAGAUACGGCCCAUACUCCUACGGGAGGCAGCAGUGGGGAAUAUUGCACAAUGGGCGAAAGCCUGAUGCAGCGACGCCGCGUGAGGGAUGACGGCCUUCGGGUUGUAAACCUCUUUCGCUCAUGGUCAUUGCUGACAUCAGGGUUGUGGUGAGGGUAGUGGAUAAAGAAGCGCCGGCUAACUACGUGCCAGCAGCCGCGGUAAUACGUAGGGCGCGAGCGUUGUCCGGAAUUACUGGGCGUAAAGCGAGCGCAGACGGUUACUUAAGCAGGAUGUGAAAUCCCCCGGGCUCAACCUGGGAACUGCGUUCUGAACUGGGUGACUAGAGUGUGUCAGAGAGGAGGUAGAAUUCCACGUGUAGUAGUGAAAUGCGUAGAGAUGUGCAGGAAUACCGAUGGCGAAGGCAGCCUCCCGGGAUAACUCUGACGUUUCUUCUCGAAGGCUGGGGUAGCAAAAAGAUUAUAUUU
rnacentral:rRNA from 1 species